rnacentral:rRNA from 1 species
CCUUACCAAAUCUUGACAUCCUUUGACAACUCUAGAGAUAGAGCCUUCCCCUUCGGGGGACAAAGUGACAGGUGGUGCAUGGUUGUCGUCAGCUCGUGUCGUGAGAUGUUGGGUUAAGUCCCGCAACGAGCGCAACCCUUAAGCUUAGUUGCCAUCAUUAAGUUGGGCACUCUAAGUUGACUGCCGGUGACAAACCGGAGGAAGGUGGGGAUGACGUCAAAUCAUCAUGCCCCUUAUGAUUUGGGCUACACACGUGCUACAAUGGACAAUACAAAGGGCAGCGAAACCGCGAGGUCAAGCAAAUCCCAUAAAGUUGUUCUCAGUUCGGAUUGUAGUCUGCAACUCGACUACAUGAAGCUGGAAUCGCUAGUAAUCGUAGAUCAGCAUGCUACGGUGAAUACGUUCCCGGGUCUUGUACACACCGCCCGUCACACCACGAGAGUUUGUAACACC